CACGAAGUUAGCCGGGGCUUAUUCUUCCGGUACAGUCAUUAUCUUCCCGGACAAAAGAGCUUUACAACCCUAAGGCCUUCAUCACUCACGCGGCAUGGCUGGAUCAGGCUUGCGCCCAUUGUCCAAUAUUCCCCACUGCUGCCUCCCGUAGGAGUUUGGGCCGUGUCUCAGUCCCAAUGUGGCUGAUCAUCCUCUCAGACCAGCUACUGAUCGUCGCCUUGGUGAGCCAUUACCUCACCAACUAGCUAAUCAGACGCGGGCCGAUCUUUCGGCGAUAAAUCUUUCCCCCGAAGGGCGUAUCCGGUAUUAGUCCAAGUUUCCCUGGAUUAUUCCGAACCGAAAGGCACGUUCCCACGCGUUACUCACCCGUCUGCCACUAGCACCGAAGUGCCCGUUCGACUUGCAUGUGUUAAGCCUGCCGCCAGCGUUCGCUCUGAGCCAGGAUCAAACUC
rnacentral:rRNA from 1 species